CACCAGAUAAAGGACUGGCUUUGAAAUUGAGUAAGAGCCCAAAUGCCAGAUCUACAAGUAACUUUGAGAUCGCAGACAUUUCACCUCCCAGUUUCCGCUUCCUUACCAGAAGGACAGCAGCCCUUCUCAUACAGUAGUGACAGAGGGCUUGAUGAUCUCCAGAUGGGCAGCUGCAUCCUAACAGGACAUUCAUCUGACGGCUCCCCAAAGGAGGAACCAGUCAUUUGGACACUAGAUUUGUGAGUUCAUCAUUAUGUCUUAGUCUUAGUCGGCUAACACACCGACCAGCAAUAUAAUGAUUUGAACCAGUCAAAACAAGGAUUUGGUGUUUUAGGGUAUGUGUGUGGGAGGCAAGGUAUUUGAGAUCAGAUCUCUAUAUAUAACCCUGAUGUCCUGUAACUAUGUAAAACCAGGCUACCUCUUACUCAGAGGUAGCCUCCCAAGUACCAGGAUUAA
rnacentral:lncRNA from 1 species